rnacentral:rRNA from 1 species
UGGGGAAUUUUGGACAAUGGGGGAAACCCUGAUCCAGCCAUCCCGCGUGUGCGAUGAAGGCCUUCGGGUUGGAAAGCACUUUUGGCAGGAAAGAAACGUCAUGGGUUAAUACCCCGUGAAACUGACGGUACCUGCAGAAUAAGCAACGGCUAACUACGUGCCAGCAGCCGCGGUAAUACGUAGGGUGCAAGCGUUAAUCGGAAUUACUGGGCGUAAAGCGUGCGCAGGCGGUUCGGAAAGAAAGAGGUGAAAUCCCAGAGCUCAACUUUGGAACUGCAUUUUAAACUUCCGGGCUAGAGUGUGUGAAAGGGGGGUGGCAUUCCGCGUGUAGCAGUGAAAUGCGUAGAUAAGCGGAGGAACGCCGGUGGCGAAGGCAGCCUCCUGGGAUAACACUGGCGCUCAUGCACGAAAGCGUGGGGAGCAAACAGG